GUCCUUUUGAGUUUUAUUUAAGGUCUGACCUGCCCACUGAUUUAUUUAAUGGCCGCGGUAUUCUGACCGUGCAAAGGUAGCAUAAUAAUUUGUCUUUUAAUUGAAGGCUUGUAUGAAUGGUUGGACGAGAAAAUUUCUUUCUUUAUAAUAAAAUUAUGAAUUUUAUUUUUUAGUUAAAAAGCUAAAAUUUUAUUGUAGGACGAGAAGACCCUAUAGAACUUUAUAUAUAUAUUUACAUUAAUAUUUUUAGAUUUUGAAUUAUUAUGUAAUUAUAUUUAUUUUGUUGGGGCGACAAGAAAAUUUAUUUAACUUUUUUUAAUUAAUUUCAUUAAUUAGUGUGUUUAUGAUCCUUUAUUAAGGAUAAUUAGAAUAAGUUACCUUAGGGAUAACAGCGUAAUUUUUUUGGAGAGUUCUUAUCGAUAAAAAAGUUUGCGA
rnacentral:rRNA from 1 species